AUCGCUUCUCGGCCUUUUGGCUAAGAUCAAGUGUAGUAUCUGUUCUUAUCAGUGUUCACUGCCUUCUGAAAAUUUUGCUUCUGUUUCAUUUCCAGGAGCAUCUCAG
rnacentral:snRNA from 1 species